UCCCAUUUAGAGUUUCUGCGUUUAGGGUUUCUGUGUUUGAAACACAAUAACAAUGGCAUCGUUCGGGUCCAUCAAAUCUGCAAUAUUCGAUAGGGAAGAGAAACAGUUCCGCUUUCUUCUUUCUUCCAAAUUCACUGUUCUAAAUAUUUUCUUACGAUUGAAUCGAACAAAACCCACACGCAUCUUUUGAGCUCACUUUAUUUUAAAAUUCUCAAUCUGAAUCUCAGGCAAUACCAAUCUCACAUUCACGGUCUCAACGCCUACAAGUUCUUGAACGAUUAUGGCCAGUUGGCUUCUAUGGAAAAGAAAAAAACUACAGAUGUGAAGUUGCCAGUUAAAACAGAUCAUGAUACCCUGAGGGAGGGACAUCGGUAUACUUUUGUUAUUUGUAUGAGUGGCCUUGCACGUCACUAUGUCACUUUAUAACCUUAUCCACCUCUGUCGACAUUCUUCUUGUUUUGCUUUCAUCUCAGCUUUGGUUUUCUCUAUAUUUCUAUCAAACGUUCUAUUUUCAAAUGUUGAUUUUCUUCCCUAUCCUUCUUAGUCUCUUCUAGUAAUGAUUGUGGAGGUGGAGAUAACAUAUGAUCCCAGUGAUGAAACAUUUAGUAAUCAGAAAAUGAAGGUGAAACAGAGGUUAGAAGAGUUGGCGCUCCCUUUCAAUGGUAGAGAGGUUGAGGAACCAAACUAACCCCACCCCUUGUAUUUCACUUUCAUGAUUAGUUGAUACUUGGCAACCCCUGAGGGAUCAUUCUUCCUUUAUUAUUUCUCGGAUGGUAACUGGGGUAUUGCUCGUUUGACAAAAUAAAUGGAUGAAACUCCUAUGUUCGUCUGUUUUAAUAAAAUAAACCAUGCAAAACUUCAAUCUUUGGUUAUUGUCGUCUACUUAAGUUCUUCAAGUUUUCUAUUUUCAUAACUACAUAGUAGGGCUAAUUUGUUUACAUUCUCUGUAUUGUUGAAUCAUUCAUACGGGGUAUAUGAUAAUAGUCUUACAUUGUAUACAUCGGUCUUUCAAUGAUUGUACUAGAUACUCAUUGUCAUGUGUUAACUUACUGAUUAACAAAAUGCAACUCAAGAGUUGCAGAAUGGGAGAGUCACAUCCAUAUAUGAUAAAUUCGUGAGUAUUCAAUAAAGACAAUUCAGAGGAGUGAUAAUGUGUUGCCGAACAGCAGAUCAAAAGGUGUUACUGCCUAUCCUUGUCUGUUUGUUCAAUCCCAUUAUUAUUUAAAGCUUAUGAAGUUGAAAUGAAUACUAGGAUGUAGGAAGAGAGACAAAAAUGAUAGAAGCUGCAAAAGCCAUUGAGUCAAUUCCUCCUGAAUUGUUUUUCUUUUUGGUUCUCAAUUAUAACAAAGUUGUUCCGAUAGUAAACUAACCCCUUGAUAAAAUUAUAUAUUAAGGCACAAAGAAGCGUCAAAAUUUGCUAGCAGAAAUUAAUGAAAUACCCUGUUACCUAUAGUGAUAUCAGUAACAUGAGCUUACAUCUUUUGUUUCAUCUAAACCCAAUUCCUAAUUUUGGGUCUUAAUACAAACUAAAAGCUCAUUCAAGUAAAAAUUAAUCAAAAGCACUUUCUAUGAACAACAUAAGGUCUCGUUUCAUAAUAAUCUGCCUUUGUUACAUGCUGAUUUUGUGGAAUCACCACUUUAGCCAGAAUUGCACCACCAACCAGGCUGAGUGCAGUGCCAAAUUCUCUGGCAUAUAUUCUGUUGGCUGCAAUUAACAUAAACUCAGAAAGGUUAAGACAAUUAACAAGGAAGUAAUGCAAAUAGUGAGCUCUAUAUUUGUUUUAUCCUUGUGUCCUAAAACAAGUGGAUGAUGAACAGUCUUCUCUUUUGAGAAUGGAAGGAGGCUACAGCCUACAGUCAGCCACACAUUUUGUGUCCAAUGCUAGAACUAGUCUUGUAUGAGGUGUUCCUCACUUUUCAGCCAUUAACAUUUUUGCCCUGCUUAAUCCGGGUUUUGAAUGUAAGUUCCAGAAAGAAGCAAGCCUCUCCUGUCGGCUAUCUGUCCGUGUCUAGCGAAGCCUCCAGAAUAUAUGCAGAGAAUUUGGCACUGUACUUGGCAUGGGUGGGUGGUGAUCAGCAUGUAACGAAGGCAUAAUAUGAUGAUACGGGGCCUUGUGUUGUUCAUAGAAAGUGUUUUUGAUUAUCUUAGGAUUAGCUGAAACAAAGUUGUACGUUCAUGUUACUGAUAUCAGUAUAGGUAACUGGGUAUUUCUGCUUAUAAUUUUGACGUUUCUUUGUGCCUAAAUAAUUUUAUCGAGGGGCUUGCUUAUUCUCGGAACAAAUUUGUUAUAAAUCCAGAACCA